rnacentral:rRNA from 1 species
CGAACCCAAUACUGUUGCAAAAGUAUGGGAUGAGCUGUGGAUCGGAGUGAAAGGCUAAUCAAGCACGGAGAUAGCUGGUUCUCCCCGAAAACUAUUUAGGUAGUGCCUCGUGUAUAACUCAUUGGGGUAAAGCACUGUUUCGACAAUGGGGGUUUUACGACCUUACUGACUCGAUGCAAACUCAGAAUACGAUGAAGUUCGAUCACGGGAGACACACUGCGGGUGCUAAGGUCCGCAGUGGAAAGGGAAACAGCCCAGACCGCCAACUAAGGUCCCAAAGUCAUAGCUAAGUGGGAAACGAAGUGGGAAGGCCCAGACAGCCAGGAGGUUGGCUUAGAAGCAGCCACCCUUUAAAGAAAGCGUAAUAGCUCACUGGUCGAGUCGGCCUGCACGUAAGAUUUAACGGGGCUAAGCUAUGCACUGAAGUUGCGGAAUAUAUUUAGUAUAUUGGUAGGGGAGCGUUCUGUAAGCCGAUGAAGGUGAAUUGAGAAGUUUGCUGGAGGUAUCAGAAGUGCGAAUGCUGACAUGAGUAACGUAAAAUAAGUGAGAUUCUUAUUGGCCGAAAACCCAAGGGUUCCUACGCAAUGUUAAUCAACGUAGGGUAAGCCGGCCCCUAAGGCGUAGCUGAAGAGUGAAGUCGAUGGGAAACAGGUUAAUAUUCCUGUGCUGCUUAUAUGAACGAAGGAGGGACGGAGAAGGUUAGGUAGGCCUGGCGAAUGGUUGUCCAGGUGAAAGUAUGUAGGUAGGAAUGCUAGGCAAAUCCGGUGUUCUGUUGAUCUGAGAUACGAGACGAAGUUAAACUUGUUUGACGAAGCUAUUGAUACCAUGCUUCCAGGAAAAGCUUCUAAGUAUAUUGUAUAAGUGACCGUACUGUAAACCGACACUGGUGGGUAGGUAGAGAAUACUAAGGCUAUGAGAUAACUCUGGUGAAGGAACUAGGCAAAAUGACACCGUAACUUUGGAAGAAGGUGUGCCCUUGAUGGUGAUGAGACUUGCUCUUUGAGCUGUUGGGGGUUGCAGAUACCAGGUGGCUGCGACUGUUUAUCAAAAACACAGCACUCUGCGAAAUCGUAAGAUGAAGUAUAGGGUGUGACGCCUGCCCGGUGCUGGAAGGUUAAUUGAAGGGGUUAGCGCAAGCGAAGCUCUGGAUCGAAGCCCCAGUAAACGGCGGCCGUAACUAUAACGGUCCUAAGGUAGCGAAAUUCCUUGUCGGGUAAGUUCCGACCUGCACGAAUGGCGUAACGAUGGCCACACUGUCUCCACCAGAGACUCAGUGAAAUUGAAAUCGCUGUGAAGAUGCAGUGUACCCGCGGUUAGACGGAAAGACCCCGUGAACCUUUACUAUAGCUUUGCACUGGACUUUGAAUAUUUAUGUGUAGGAUAGGUGGGAGACCAUGAAGCAGCUACGCCAGUAGUUGUGGAGUCGUCCUUGAAAUACCACCCUUGAAUAUUUGAAGUUCUAACUCAGGAGAGAUUCGAGGACAGUGUAUGGUGGGUAGUUUGACUGGGGCGGUCUCCUCCUAAAGAGUAACGGAGGAGUACGAAGGUGCACUCGGUACGGUCGGAAAUCGUGCCAAGAGUAUAAAGGCAAAAGUGCGCUUGACUGCGAGAGUGACGGCUCGAGCAGGUACGAAAGUAGGUCUUAGUGAUCCGGUGGUCCCGAAUGGAAGGGUCAUCGCUCAACGGAUAAAAGGUACUCCGGGGAUAACAGGCUAAUUCCUCCCAAGAGUUCAUAUCGACGGAGGAGUUUGGCACCUCGAUGUCGGCUCAUCACAUCCUGGGGCUGAAGUAGGUCCCAAGGGUAUGGCUGUUCGCCAUUUAA